rnacentral:lncRNA from 1 species
AAUAAUGAGAAAGGCUCAUGAAAUUAUUUGUUAUCCAGAAAUAACCUUUGCAAGUAAUGUUGGUAAGUAUAGGAAAAGGAAAAAAUCUUUACCAUUUUCUUUCUCAUCUUCAGUAUAACUGUGGUAUUUUAAGCUUAAUAGAGAUAAACUGAACAGAUUUACAUUUAGACUUAGUUUCACAUUCUUACAGAUUAUUUUUAGGGCUUGGUGAAUCAGGAGUGUUUUUAUGUCUUAGACAAACUUUAUUUUGUAAGAUACUUCUUUAUAUAAGCAAUAACCUCAAUUUGAGUUACUGUGGAAGACAAAUUUGUGAAGGAAAUGGAACCCAGCAGAUUUCUCAGAAAUAGUAUAUGUGAGAAACGCGACUUGUAUAAUGCAGUGAUUUCUUUAAUUCGUCAUAUGUUUGGGUAAUUAGAAAUUUUUCCAGCCUUAUAGUCAUUGAACAUCUAACCAUAAAGAAAUGAGACAAAUCUAGUUAAUAGCCCUAAAAACAACCCCAUGACUCUUAGGAAAAAAGAAUCCUGGCACUCCAUAGCAAUUUUAUUUACAACACUAGUAUUCGAGAAGUUGGUGAUGCCAGCUUCUGAAAGAAUAACCUCAGUGUCCUGGAGAAAACUUGGAUUAGGAAAAGUGAAAUUAGAAAUAAAUAUCCCAAGGUCAAGAUGUAAAAUCGAAAUGUCAGUAGCUAAUGAUUAAUCAGAAAAGUGAGCCCUCCUACAGUUUUUCUCAGUUUUUAAUGGGUUUGGAUAAAGCGGCACUGGAAAUCAUUUCAAGAACAAGUAUAUAAAUUUAGUCCAAUAUAAAUAUGUUCGUGAAUAUAGCCACUCAUGGAAACUACAGAGAUACACAAUUGUAAGCAGUUAUGUAAGUAGGUACUAUUCGUAAUUAAUAUGAUAUGGACUCUGAUGAUGCCCUAUGUUUUUGAACUUGCUGUAAAGGUGAAUCCUCAGUUCUGUCUUAAACACUUUAGGAAAUGCUCAUCAGUCACCCUCCUCACCCUUAACUCACGAUUUGAUGAAUUUGGCACAUAAGUGGUUACAAAUGGAAUAGCCUAGGGACUUGUUUUGAGCAACUCCACCACCAGAAGGUAAAACUCAGGAACCAUAAUCCUUGACAUAACCUAACCUAUUUUUUUCUUCACUUUGAGCCAAAGAAAAACUCAGCUUUACUCCUUCUUUACCCUGCAUUACCAGACUUAACCAUUAAUGUUGUAUUACAUUGGAUCUUUCAUAGUUUCUUAGCAAUUGUCCCCAAAGUUUAUUUUUUUGGCUUUGCCCACAGCAUACAGAAGUUCAUGGGCCAGGGACUGAACCCACGCCACAGCUGCAGCCAGUGCCACAUCAGUGACAACACAGGAUCUUUUCCCAGCUAGGCCACCAGGGAACUGCAAUAAAAACUUAUUUUAAGUUUUAAACA